GAUGAACGCUGGCGGCGUGCCUAAUACAUGCAAGUCGAGCGAACAGACGAGGAGCUUGCUCCUUCGACGUUAGCGGCGGACGGGUGAGUAACACGUAGGUAACCUACCUAUAAGACUGGGAUAACUUCGGGAAACCGGAGCUAAUACCGGAUAAUAUUUCGAACCGCAUGGUUCGAUAGUGAAAGAUGGCUUUGCUAUCACUUAUAGAUGGACCUGCGCCGUAUUAGCUAGUUGGUAAGGUAACGGCUUACCAAGGCAACGAUACGUAGCCGACCUGAGAGGGUGAUCGGCCACACUGGAACUGAGACACGGUCCAGACUCCUACGGGAGGCAGCAGUAGGGAAUCUUCCGCAAAGGGCGAAAGCCUGACGGAGCAACGCCGCGUGAGUGAUGAAGGUCUUCGGAUCGUAAAACUCUGUUAUUAGGGAAGAACAAACGUGUAAGUAACUGUGAACGUCUUGACGGUACCUAAUCAGAAAGCCACGGCUAACUACGUG
rnacentral:rRNA from 1 species